GCGUUCGUGGUAUAACGGUAACACACUCGGCCUGUAUUCGAGAGGUCCAGGUUUCAGUCCUCGCUAGGGCA
rnacentral:tRNA from 1 species